UCAAACUUGGUCAUUUAGAGGAAGUAAAAGUCGUAACAAGGUUUCCGUAGGUGAACCUGCGGAAGGAUCAUUACCAAACUUUAGCUGCUCUGGUUCAGGCCAGUAGCACGCUUCAACCCUUUGUGAACCAAAAAACCUUUCGCUUCGGUUAGCAGGUCUGCGCCAUUCCGGCCAGACCGUAAGCCUGCCCGUAGCACCAAACAAAAACUUGUUGUCAAACACAGUCUGAACUAAAUAUUUUCGAAUGAAAAUUAAAACUUUCAACAACGGAUCUCUUGGUUCUCGCAUCGAUGAAGAACGCAGC
rnacentral:misc_RNA from 1 species